AGAGUUUGAUCAUGGCUCAGGAUGAACGCUAGCGGCAGGCCUAACACAUGCAAGUCGAGGGGCAACAGGAGUAGCAAUACUUGCUGGCGACCGGCGCACGGGUGAGUAACGCGUAUGCAACCUACCCAUAACAAGGGGAUAGCUUUCGGAAACGGAAAUUAAUACCCUAUAGUAUUCCCGGGUCGCAUGGCCUGGGGGUUAAAACUACGGUGGUUAUGGAUGGGCAUGCGUGCCAUUAGCUAGUUGGCGGGGUAACGGCCCACCAAGGCGAUGAUGGCUAGGGGGUCUAAAAGGAUGAUCCCCCACACUGGUACUGAGACACGGACCAGACUCCUACGGGAGGCAGCAGUGAGGAAUAUUGGUCAAUGGGCGAGAGCCUGAACCAGCCAUGCCGCGUGCAGGAAGACGGCCCUACGGGUUGUAAACUGCUUUUGUGUGGGAAGAAAACGUUCUACGUGUAGGACACUGACGGUACCAUAUGAAUAAGCAUCGGCUAACUCCGUGCCAGCAGCCGCGGUAAUACGGAGGAUGCGAGCGUUAUCCGGAUUUAUUAGGUUUAAAGGGUGUGUAGGCGGACGAUUAAGUCAGUGGUGAAAUCUCAGAGCUUAACUCUGAAACUGCCAUAGAUACUGGUUGUCUUGAGUACAGUUGAAGUAGGCGGAAUGUGUAAUGUAGCGGUGAAAUGCUUAGAUAUUACACAGAACACCGAUUGCGAAGGCAGCUUGCUAAGCUGUUACUGACGCUGAUGCACGAAAGCGUGGGGAGCGAACAGGAUUAGAUACCCUGGUAGUCC
rnacentral:rRNA from 1 species